AUUUCAUUGGCAUUUUUUUGAAGAUUUCUAUUUGUCCAUGCAUACAUUUGACUAUACAUUGACUAUACUUACUUAUACAGUAAGUAAAGCCAUACCUACAGCUUGUGUCCAAGUCCUGAUCAGUUCUCUAAUGCAUCUGCAGUCUAAGAAAGCUCCAGAGACCAAUCUUUUGGACAUAAAAUGGAGUUGUAAGAUUAGAAGCCUUCUACUCUGAGUGUUUGAUAUUCCUGGGGGACAAAGCAUCCUGAAUUUUAGACCACUUGUGCAUUUUAUUUAGUGAUUCUUAAUGCUGAAGGAUUAAUAGGCCAUCCCCAAAAGAACAAUUGAACCUGAUUCACCCUUCCUGUCUGAGAACAGCUUAAUGUCUGGAAAUCUUCAAUUUUCUCUUGUACAUCUGCUGGCUGCUUGGCUUAUAUAUCCUUAUGUAGCCUUUCUGCUUUAGAUAUCCUUACACAUCCUUUCUGCCUCGUGCUACAGUCUCACCUAUAAGGAUGCAGAAAGAUCUCUCAUGUGGGUUGCUGCUGUUCAAAUAAGCCACGAUUUUGUGGACAGAACAUCUUUCCUAAGGCCUGAGUUAUUCCUUUAUAUGGAGCUACUGCACACUGGAAUCAGCUGCUGUCAGCAAAAACAGCCUAUCUGAAAACCUACAAAGCUCCACAAGCCUUAACAGCUUAACAGACCACUACAGAACAGAGGUGUGAAGUUUACUGAAGUCCAAUUGAUUAAAGUCACAUGCCAGUCUUAGCUGGAAAGCAAAGAAAAGAGAUUCAAACAAUUUCAGAGGAUGUAACUAAACCACAUGUGGUUUACCAUUGAUCUUUACCAUAAAUCAGAAGAAUGAUGAAAACUGUGGAAAAAGAAAUAUUUUGGAACAGGCUGAAACACAGACACUGGGAAAUGAGGAAAAGGUGGAGCGUUCUCCCCUACUCAAAGCUGCAUCAGGUUUUUGAUGAUAAUUCAUCUACCACUGAUCAAUUUUUUGAAAAAAAUUGUCCAUCAAAGACCAAGCAUGUUUUUUUUUAAACAUAAGAUGUAUCCAAUUCUUAGGAAUACAGUGCACAAAAAAAUCUUCAGUACAAUAUAACUUCUCCAUAAAUAAUUUUACUGUAUGAAAUCAGAGCUUCUUAUUAUAUUUGGUCCUAUUCGUUUUGAUGUGCUGUGAUUUUCCUGCCGCAUGCUGUAGGUCAUGCUGUGGGAUUAGUAAUACAGCCAUUCUGCUACUGACUAGUAACUGACAGAAGCUGUUUUCAUAACCUUUCGUGAAGAUUGUGACAUCUAUAUUUUUAUUUCUGUUUUCCAGCUUAUCUUGACUUUUCAAAAUACUUGCAAGCUCCUUAUCAGUAGAGGUUCAAAACUUGUAGUAAGGAAUAAGUUCAUUUUUUUAGCUAGCAUGCUAUCAGUUCAGGAAAAGUCACUUAAAAACAUGAGCAAAAAAGUCUUAAUAUAUUUUAAUUGUAACCUUGAAAGAAAAAGGAACAUCAUCUGAAAUGAUCAAGACUAAUUAUUCAGGACUGUAGAGAUCAUUAGCAAAACUUCAGAGACAAGUUAGAUGAACUAGAUAAGCCUGACUGCUGGAUGGACUUCAGAAGAUCAUUGAGGGCAAGGUGCUUUGGCAGGCUGACCUUCAUCUGAAACACACAUGUACAUGUGCACUCACCAAACUGUGAAAUGUUUUGUACAGCAAUAACAUCCCAGUCUAUUUUGCUGUUCCUAAAUCAGAUCAUUGGACUUCACAGAGGAAAGUUUUCUUUAUGCUUUAACAAAACAAAUAAACAAAAAGUGUAGAUUAUUUUGUCUUGAUGU
ensembl:lncRNA